UGGGGAAUUUUGGACAAUGGGCGCAAGCCUGAUCCAGCCAUACCGCGUGAGUGAAGAAGGCCUUCGGGUUGUAAAGCUCUUUCAGACGGAAAGAAACGGUUACGGCUAAUACCCGUGACUAAUGACGGUACCGUAAGAAGAAGCACCGGCUAACUACGUGCCAGCAGCCGCGGUAAUACGUAGGGUGCGAGCGUUAAUCGGAAUUACUGGGCGUAAAGCGUGCGCAGGCGGUUUGGUAAGACAGAUGUGAAAUCCCCGGGCUUAACCUGGGAACUGCAUUUGUGACUGCCAGACUAGAGUGUAGCAGAGGGGGGUAGAAUUCCACGUGUAGCAGUGAAAUGCGUAGAUAUGCGGAGGAACACCGAUGGCGAAGGCAAUCCCCUGGACCUGUACUGACGCUCAUGCACGAAAGCGUGGGGAGCAAACAGGAUUAGAUACCCCAGUAGUCCCUGAGCGGGCUGGCAAGGCGCAU
rnacentral:rRNA from 1 species